CACUCCUGCGGGAGGCAGCAGUGGGGAAUAUUGGACAAUGGGCGCAAGCCUGAUCCAGCCAUGCCGCGUGAGUGAUGAAGGCCCUAGGGUUGUAAAGCUCUUUCACCGGUGAAGAUAAUGACGGUAACCGGAGAAGAAGCCCCGGCUAACUUCGUGCCAGCAGCCGCGGUAAUACGAAGGGGGCUAGCGUUGUUCGGAUUUACUGGGCGUAAAGCGCACGUAGGCGGACUAUUAAGUCAGGGGUGAAAUCCCGGGGCUCAACCCCGGAACUGCCUUUGAUACUGGUAGGCUUGAGUUCGAGAGAGGUGAGUGGAAUUCCGAGUGUAGAGGUGAAAUUCGUAGAUAUUCGGAGGAACACCAGUGGCGAAGGCGGCUCACUGGCUCGAUACUGACGCUGAGGUGCGAAAGCGUGGGGAGCAAACAGGAUUAGAUACCCUAGUAGUCCCAUGAU
rnacentral:rRNA from 1 species